rnacentral:piRNA from 1 species
UUCCUUCCAGGAGAAUGACUUUACCAUC